rfam:Stegodyphus mimosarum contig62256, whole genome shotgun sequence.
GCCUUCGUGUUGUAGUGGUCAGCACGCUGGGCACAUAUUCCAGAGGCCCAUGGUUCGAGUCCUGGUGAAGGCU